rnacentral:rRNA from 1 species
UACGUAGGGGGCAAGCGUUGUUCGGAAUUACUGGGCGUAAAGCGCGUGUAGGCGGCUCGAUAAGUCUGCUGUGAAAGUCCAGGGCUCAACCCUGGGAUGCCGGUGGAUACUGUCGAGCUCGAGUCCGGAAGAGGCGAGUGGAAUUCCUGGUGUAGCGGUGAAAUGCGCAGAUAUCAGGAGGAACACCGGUGGCGAAGGCGGGUCUCUGGGCCGAUGACUGACGCUGAGGAGCGAAAGCGUGGGGAGCGAACAGG